rnacentral:lncRNA from 1 species
GCACGAUGCAGGCACGACUCCUGGCCGUCGGAUGCAAUGUGACCUCCUCUCCACCGUUGGAUCUAGGUUAGGGUUUCACCGAGUAUAUAUUCGUCCCUCCCCCGACUCUGCCUCUCUCACUCCCAUACGGAUGUAAUGUGGGGCUGUAAUAUUUUGUGAACUUGGACAUGGCUGGACUUGAUGAAUGAAUGAACUUGUAGUGGAGCUCGGCUGUACUCUUUUCCUGCCUAGGGUUUCUCACAAGGGUGAGUUUUACCUAGGUGGGUUUUUAAUGAGGCAGCCAUUACACUAAAGCUCCCAUUUUGUUAAUUGUCUUGUUUGUUUUGUGUUGAUUUCUAUGUUUUUUUUGAGGAUUCUUUAUGUUGAAACUUGAAGUCUUGAUUAGUUUUUGAUUCUGUACAUUUUGAGGUUUUUUGAUAGUAUAGUGCCAGUGCUGACACGGCACUGAUGUGCCAACAUAGUGCCGGUACGGCACUGGCACGUUUAAGCCUGUAUAGGGCCGUGCCUGGGCUGCUGAUGCAGCAUGGCGGCACUAACAGGCACGGCACGAUAUGUCACCGUGCCAUUGUAGUGCCGUGCCUGAUAGUGCCGUGCUUAAUAGUGCUAGUGCUAGUGUCGUGCUGGGCGGCCCGUUUGGCCA